CAUUUGCAUCUUUCUGGCGUUUUAGAUGCAUACACAAAGCUCAGAUACCUUUCAUACGUUAUGGAUAUCUCCACAGCAACAGUAGAUUAUCUUGAUUUGGUGCACGACAUUCUGCUGCCCAUGGUAAUCAAAGACAAAAGUAAGCACACAUUGAGUCACUAAGAGGCCCGUUUUCUGGGAGAAGUUUCUGUUUCUGUUCAAAUUGAGCAGAUACUCACUCUGGUCUUCGAGAAUUUCAAGUAACUUGAUGAAUCAUCGAUGUCGGGUAUUAAAGAUGUAUUCGGACCUGCAACAGGAUUUGCUGCACCUGCACUUGAUCCAGCUUUGAAGCUCUACAAUGGU